CCUACGGGUGGCUGCAGUGAGGAAUAUUGGUCAAUGGACGAGAGUCUGAACCAGCCAAGUCGCGUGAGGGAUGACUGCCCUAUGGGUUGUAAACUUCUUUUGUCAGGGAAUAAAACCAGGGACUAGUGCCUUUUUGCAUGUACUUUAUGAAUAAGGAUCGGCUAACUCCGUGCCAGCAGCCGCGGUAAUACGGAGGAUCCGAGCGUUAUCCGGAUUUAUUGGGUUGAAAGGGAGCGGAGGUGGGUGUUUAAGUCAGUUGUGAAAAUCGGCGGCUCAACCGCAAAAUGGCAAUUGAUACUGGCGGUCUUGAGUAGAGUUGAGGUAGGCGGAAUGCGUGGUGUAGCGGUGAAAUGCUUAGAUAUCACGAAGAACCCCGAUGGCGAAGGCAGCUUACUAAACUGUGACUGACAUUGAGGCUCGAAAGUGUGGGUAUCAAACAGGAUUAGAUACCCGAGUAGUC
rnacentral:rRNA from 1 species